rnacentral:rRNA from 1 species
CGCGUAGGCGGGUGUUUAAGUCAGAGGUUAAAUCCCAGGGCUCAACCCUGGAACUGCCUUUGAUACUGGGCACCUAGAGUUCGGGAGAGGUGUGUGGAACUCCGAGUGUAGAGGUGAAAUUCGUAGAUAUUCGGAAGAACACCAGUGGCGAAGGCGACACACUGGCCCGAUACUGACGCUGAGGCGCGAAAGCGUGGGGAGCAAACAGGAUUAGAUACCCUGGUAGUCCACGCUGUAAACGAUGAGUGCUAGUUGUCGGCAUGCAUGCAUGUCGGUGACGCAGCUAACGCAUUAAGCACUCCGCCUGGGGAGUACGGUCGCAAGAUUAAA